rnacentral:rRNA from 1 species
UACGUAGGGUGCAAGCGUUGUCCGGAAUUAUUGGGCGUAAAGAGCUCGUAGGCGGUCUGUCGCGUCUGCUGUGAAAACCCGAGGCUCAACCUCGGGCUUGCAGUGGGUACGGGCAGACUAGAGUGCGGUAGGGGAGAAUGGAAUUCCUGGUGUAGCGGUGGAAUGCGCAGAUAUCAGGAGGAACACCGAUGGCGAAGGCAGUUCUCUGGGCCGUAACUGACGCUGAGGAGCGAAAGCGUGGGGAGCGAACAGG